rnacentral:rRNA from 1 species
UACGUAGGGUGCAAGCGUUAAUCGGAAUUACUGGGCGUAAAGCGUGCGCAGGCGGUUUUGUAAGUCUGUCGUGAAAUCCCCGGGCUCAACCUGGGAAUUGCGAUGGAGACUGCAAGGCUAGAAUCUGGCAGAGGGGGGUAGAAUUCCACGUGUAGCAGUGAAAUGCGUAGAUAUCUGGAGGAAUACCGGUGGCGAAGGCGGCAUCCUAGACCGACAUUGACGCGUGAGGAGCGAAAAGCUAGGGGAGCAAACGGGG